rnacentral:pre_miRNA from 1 species
UACAUAGAUUAUUUUAUUCAUUUAUAUACACGGCGUGAAGUAGGGGAUUACAACCAUUUUUAAACGGAAAGUGAAUCAAUUAACAUAAUAGACUCCU